rnacentral:ncRNA from 1 species
AAGGAGCCCGGUCCAGGGCUCCCGGACGAGGGGUGCCGUACCCGGAGCGCGACAAGACGGCCCGCG